AGGGGUUUGCGUCUGAUUAGCUGGUUGGAGGGUAACGGCCCAACCAAGGCGACGAUCAGUAGCCGGUCUGAGAGGAUGAACGGCCACAUUGGGACUGAGACACGGCCCAGACUCCUACGGGAGGCAGCAGUGGGGGAAUCUUCCGCAAUGGACGAAAGUCUGACGGAGCAACGCCGCGUAAGUGAAGAAGGUCUUCGGAUUGUAAAGCUCUGUUAUACGGGACGAAAAAGACGGAUGCCAACAGUAUCCGUCCGUGACGGUACCGUAAGAGAAAGCCACGGGCUAACUACGUGCCAGCAGCCGCGGUAAAU
rnacentral:rRNA from 1 species